UUACCGUGUUACUCUUCAGUACACGAUAGACAUCCCCAUCAUUGAACAACCUACUCCAUUUACCGGGAUCUUUAAUACAUUGUUCUUGAACAAUUCUCCUUCCCAUUUCUUGUAGCGAAUCAUGCAUCUCUAUGGUUUGCCAUUCCGAACCAAUUGAUAUGAGAGACAUAUCAAUGAGAAUUCUAACUCCGCCUGUCGCAAAGAAUCCGCGAACAUCUAACAUUCGUUUUACCUUACGCACAACCCACCCCUUAUAAAAACAUGCUAUAUCCAGAAAUAUCUCCUUCUCAUUUUUUUCUAAUCUAUCAUAACUUAUUCUCAACACUUUCUGGAUAUCUCCACUGAAAAAUAGUUUCAAUUUGUUGAAUUCGUCUUCCCAGUCUUCUUUGGUUUUGCAAUUGAAGAACAAGGACCCCAUAACUGUAAGAGCUAAAGGAACACCUCCGGCAUAAUGCAAGGCCUUUUUUGCCAACUCCUUAUAAUCUAUUCUACGAGUACUGCUAUUCUUGAAAGCACGCGAACAGAAGAGCUGAAGAGCGUCAUCCGGUUUUAAUACCUCAACCUCGUAGAUAUUAUCCUCUUCAACAGUUUGCCUAAGUGUGGCCCUAUCUCUACUUGUUAUAAUAAUUCUACUUCCAGUGCCAUACCGAAGACGAUCGCCAGCUAAACGUUCCAUUUGCAUUGAACUACUCACAUCAUCAAGAACAAUGAGGACCUUUGUCCGGCUGAGCCUUUUUCGAACACUAGCUGAUCCUAUGGAUAGACAUCCUUCCCUUAAUAUCUCCUUAAGAAGUGUUUUUUCCAAGAGAUCUAGUCCAUCUACUUUUUCUGAGUUCUCUCUAACAUUCUUAACAAAACAAGAAGCUUCGAAUUUAGAAGAGAGUUUGUGAAAUACAGUUUCAGCAAGGGUGGUUUUGCCAAUACCACCCAUGCCCCAAAUACCUAAAGUGAUGCAAGCGUCCGGUGAAUGAAUGCUUAACAGCGAUUCGAUCUUCUUGAUGCGGCCUUCAAUUCCAACAUAGCCCUUUAAAUUGCAGGAUGAUUCGCGACACAAUUUGGUCCAAAUAUCCCUUACAACUUCCUUAACUAAGUCGGCAUCCGUCCUGGCAUAUAUGAUUAUGAAGAAAGCAAUAGUUAAGUCUUAAAUAUAUAUACCUUACAAAAUCUUGGCACAAAUAAAAUCGUCACAAGUUUAAAGAAAAUUUAUAAUUUUAUACAAGUUAAAGAAUUAGUUAGUUACCCAUAAUUUUUCGAAUCAAACCCAGAUAUAUCUGCUGCAUUCGUCAAAGCAUCCCUCCACUUGCGCACGUUGUCGAUAUUGUUCUCUAAACGUUGUUCAAGUAGAUCAAAUGCAACCGCAUAACUCCCCCGUUGUUUUCGUACAUCCGAUGGAAGGGUGUCGUAAAAAAUGGGUAUAACCAACUGGCCAUGUUUUUCCUUGCAUUCUAGGAUAUGCACAAGCUCAUCCAAACACCAAGUGGAAGAAGCGUAGUCUUUCGAGAAAAUGAUCACCGAAAGCUCUGAUUCCUCGAUUACUUCGAGAAGGGCAGGUGCAAUUUCAUCUCCUCUCUCAAGCUCGUCAUCAAUGUAGGUUAUGAUUUUUUUCUCAAGUAAGGCAACUUGAAGAUGGCUGGUAAAGGUACGGCGGGUGUCCUCACCUCUGAAACUAAUAAACACAUCGUUCUUUUUGGUAUCAUCAGCAUUAGCAGGAGCAGCAGCGGAUGAAAAAGAAGAAGCGACAUCCAUAACCUCUAGUUUUCAGAUCCAGCAAAAAGAUGUAGUUGCAGAGAGAUUAAUUGUUAAUUAAAGAGUCAAUAUUAUUACGUUGCACCGAAUUAAGGAGAAUUUACUUAAAAUUGGCACAAAGUUUCAAUGAGUGAGAGAUGAACGAAGGUAGAAAAUGGGGCACAUGAUAGGCACAUAUUUUCUUCGAAAAAAACUAUAAUUUAAAGAAAGAUAUUCAUAUAUUUGCAAUCUUGAUAUGAACGACGUCAUCUCAGCAUGUAAAACUAACAGAAGUUGAAAACCAUAAAAUGAUAUAAAUGCAAACCUUUUCUCCUUGCUUUGCUCGCCUCACAAUCAGUAUCAUCAUCGUCACCUGAUCGAUUCCUGCAGGUGAAGUUUUGGUUAUGUUUCGUAUAGUCAAUAAACAUAAAUCCGAUUAUUACGCAUACCAAAAAAUACCACACAAAAAGGAUGCCAAAAAUAAACUCGAGACCUCUUUCUUCUGUUCUCUUCCUUGUUUUCUAUUUCCAUUUGCGCUUUCUCUUUCAAUCUUUUGUAUGAAGCUUUUCAAGAACCUCUGUUAAGAGAACCGUUUAAUCCAAACGUCAAACGAAAGACAAUUGAUCAAGAUGCGAACAAAACAAAGUGACAUCCCGUGACAGGUCCCCAGCGAAGAAAUUAACAGCAGACAUAACAAAAAUUAGCAAAUUGAAUGCCAGCAUAACAUAACAACUAAACUUUCUAUUAAAAAGAAAUGACAAAAAAAUACAGAAAGAGCCUUAAAUACUGACUAACCUCUGACAAGUUACCAAUUUGACAAUGGCUUGUUUGUUUUUUCCACCUUCAAAACAAGAAAACUUCACCUUCAAAAUAAUAUAUCCAAAACAAUUACUUUUUUGUAUCAUCAGCAGGAGAGGCAGCAGAUGACGACGAAGAAGAAGAAGGCAUAUCCAUAACCUCUAGUUUUCAGAUCCAGAAGUAGUAGUUGCAGAGAGAUUAAUUGUGAACAGAGAGAAAGAGAGACUGAUUCAAAAUUAAGGAGGAUCUAAUGAAACAGGAAAGAGAGAGGGGGAGAGGGAGAGGGAGACUAGUUCAGAUUUUACUUGAAUUGGCUUUUGACUAGAUCCACAAAGUUUCAAAGGCUCUUCUGAAAAUGAUACGAGUAAUAGACGACCAGUUACUAAAGCAUGAAAAGGGGCACAUGGGAUGGGCCCUCCCUUUACGCACAUGGUUUUGAAUUUUCUUGAUUAAUCAAUUUCUUUCAAGAAAUUUCCAAACAAUUUCCGAGCAGCUUCGGUUGAGGACAUUUUUAUAAUUUCCUAAAGAAAAUAUGUGAAUUCCACGCUACAAGAUCAACUCAUUAAAUUAUUAAUAAAAAAUCUUUACAACUAUUAAUCUCUCUGCCAUAUUAUAAUCAAAUCAAAUCAAACCAAACGAAUCUUAAUAGUUAAAGAAAACUAAUGAAAAAACUUCAAAACUUUAAAAUUUAAGGAAAACUAAUGAAAAUGGUUUGAAAACUUUGAGUUUGAAUGAUAAAGACAAAAUAAAAGGUAAAGUGAAUAGUACUAGCAUUGACUUUUUAGUGUAAAAAUAUGGUUUUUCGUUAAAGUGAACAGUACCGGUGCUUUUCGUUAAAAUUCCCUAAAAUUUAACCAAAUUAUCUCACAUGUAGCAGCUCUAUCUAUAAUUAUUCUGCAGUUGUUUUAUAUAUGCACGACGUCGUUUCUUGGAAGAUCAUGGAUUUAUUCGUAUUGGUUUAGUCACUAGAAUUUUUUAAUUUUUUAUUUUUGGACAAAUAGUCACUGGAAUUUAAUUUGUCUGUUUUACCGCCAUGUAGCCUUUGGGUAAAGCCUCGUCAAGGAUGCUGACACAUGCUUCUGGAAAACCCAUGGAAAAUAAUAUUUUCCUAAAAGAAUAGUAUUUAAUGGAAAAGGUAUUGUAUAGACGGGAGAUAUUAGGAAUCGGAUCCCCUCCUGAGCUUAGGAGAUGCCUCGUGAACAACUUAUUCGGACCAUUGAAAUUUGAUUCAAUGACUACAAUUAUUAUAAUUUUAAGAGAAACCUCUUAUUUGUAGUUGUUGAAUUAAAUUUCAUCUAUACGAAUAGUUUGCUCACAAGUCCGAGAUAUUAAUGCACCGGACCGUUGGAUUGGCUUUUGGAGUUGUCGAGGAAAGCGAGCGGUUGGAAUUAAGGAGGAAGAUAUCUCGAGGCCACAAAAGAAAAUGACAAAUGCCGUAGGGAUGAGAGAGAGAGAGUAACUAAGUGGUGUGACAAAGCCAAACCAGUAGAUUCAUGCCAGAGGCGGUUAGUACGGUGUUGAAGGUGGCAUUGAUAUGUGAACUCGAGAACUACGAUCUCGUUCCCGCCGAUAACUUGUCAUACCAUAUUUAGUCUAAGAAAUAAUCAAUGCAUCCUAAUUGUGUUUAGUUUGAAAAAUAAGUGUGUGUUCAGUUUUAAAAAUAAUUUAAUGUCCACAAUUAAAUAAUAAGCAUGAAAAUGACUAACAAGGUAACACAAACUGCUCAAUUCAUCCAAUAUUUAGAAAAUAAUUGAAAAUUUUCAUGGUCAAAUUAAUAUGGAAAAUCAUAAUUAAAUAAACUCGAUUGUUUCAACUGCUCAUUCUGACGAAGCAGCACUAGUUCGACAUAUUGCUUCUGAUGAUAAUUAUUAUAUAUCAGUGUUGCAAAUUAGCAAGGUAUAGUGCCUUCAGACUUAAAUUCACCACUUUCAUAACCUUCUCGAUCAGUACCUUCACCUUCUCCGUCAGUACCUCCUUCAUCAACUCUCAAUAUCACCAAAAUUCUAAAUGACUAUCCAGACUUCAUACGAAUUUUUUUAUUUGGCCUAAACUAGGGGGGGAAAAAAACCCAAAACAGAAGAUGUACAGAACUUUAGACAUGAAUAUUUCAAGAUGUGAAUUUGAGGCCUACUACACAUCAUUAGAGAGGACUAAAUUUAUGAUCAAUAGGAUAAAAAGACAUGCAUUUUUAUAUUUUCAUGCAUAAACUUGUUGUACUCAAUGCAUUUCCAGAGGAGAAGGAAGAAGGAUACCAUCUCUUUAUCUAUUCUCUUCCAAAUUAGUAGCAUAUCUCUGGCUUUUUCGUUGCACGAAUUGUAGCCCCUCAUCAAUGUGAGAGAUCUGCUGACCUUCAAUUUCACCUACAAAGAAUAAAAGAGUCGACAGUUCAGUAUAAACACUACAAACGCCAUCUGAUGAAACCUAAACCCAAAGGUACACAAGUUUUAGAGAGAAAGUAAGGACAGAGAUAGAUAUGGGGAGGACCUUGAGCGAGGAGGCGAUUGACGGCUUCGUUGGGGAGGACCUCAGAGGAGGGAGAACGCUGUCGAAAUCUUACACGAACAAUCCUAGGUGGAGCAAAUCUUUCAAAACCAACCCCAUCCCUCCCUCCCUCCCACCCUCCCUCCGCAAUUCCCACUUCUCCCAUACCCCAAAUUCAGCAUCACCGCUCAACCCUGUCUCUUUCUCUCUCUGGAAUACCUACGCCUACUCCCUUUCUCUAUCUGCAACACUUCCCGUCAACCUCUCAGAACCAUCCCCUUGAUGUCAUCACACCAAUCACAUCCCUUUAAAUGCACAAUUACAAAAUUACCCCCAAGUUCUAUAGCCCGGUCCGUUCGAUCUGGAUUGAAAAUAGGCAAAAGAGUAACUUUAAUGCUUUCAGUGAAUCCUAUCCACAACCCACCUGACAGCCCACAUCGGGCCCAAACGACAACAAACCGAACCCGCCCAUUUUUGUGAAGCAAGGCCCAAAUGUAAAAACCCAGUGGCAAUGUAGUAAAUAAACUGAAAUCUUCAAUUCAAAUUACAGUGCCACCCCUCCUCAACUUUAGAAUAGAUAAUGUAGAUAAUGUAGUGCUCGUGUUUCAUUUCAGAAAUAAUUGUCUCCUCUUCUUUUCCCAUCCCCUUUCAUCACCUCCUACUUUCUCAGCCGUUCAUUUCAUGCCAAGUCGAUUUAAAGCUUUAUAUUUUGCCACGUUGCCAACACCCCUCACGUUUCAUUAAUGCCCAAUAUUGCGGCGCAUUUCCUGGCCCCUCCUAUCUUGCCUUACAAGCUGCCUUGUCUCUUCUUUUAUACAAUCACUCCACUAGCAAAUUGUAUAAAAUUCACCAUCUGGGUUCUGAUCCUGUGAGCUUUUUGGUUGGAUUUGAGGUGGUAAGGGGGAAGCUUCGUUUGUUUCAAUGGAGAGUGGAGGAGGUUCUGCUAGUGGGUCAUUGGGUAAGUCACAGUUGUCCAGGAAAAAGAGUUUUGCCAUGUCUCAUGAGGACUCUUCUAACCCUGAGGGGUAUGGACUUGUUCUCUAUCUUAGGUUGAGCUGUGGUGGUGGUGGUGGUAAAGGUAAGAAAAUUAGGGAUGAGUGCUAUUGGUGACCUGGCGAAAUCUAGAGUUUUAAAUCAACUUAGCAUGAAAUGAACAGUUGAGAAAGUAGGAGGGGAUGGGAAAAUGAGCGGAGACAAUCUUGGUCCGUUGCCAGUGGCAUUGAUGUGUGAGCUAGAGAACUACGCUCUCGUUCCCGCCGAUAACUUGCUCUCGUUCCCGCCGAUAACUUGUCAUACCAUAUUUACUUUAAGAAAUAAUCAAUGGACGCUAAUUGUGGUUAGUUUCAAAAAUAAGCCUGUGUUCAAUUUUAGAAAUAAUUUUAGCGACUUGAUGCUGGUGGAAAUGUGUUCUGAAUUAGCUUGAUUUUGAAUUUGUAGUCUAAUUGUAGUUGAAGUGGUAAAUGUGAGAUCGGGAUGUCUUAAUUCCCUUAUCUAAGCUGAGAUUUUUUUUUCGUGUUAGUAUAAAUACGGAAUUGAUGUUCAAAUGGUAGAAAAUAAGUAGAUGAAGGAUUUAUACUACAGUAGGGGAGGUUGAGAGGGCUAUGUUAUCAGGUCAUUAAUUUACUUUCCGGUGUAUCCGUUUGACCUUAGGUGGUAAGCAGACUUUAGAAAUGUGUUAUAUGAUGACUAUGAAAUUAUGUAGCAGUGAAAACCUGCAGCAUAAGAUGACUAUGAAAUAGUUAGCAUUGUCGCAAACAGGGGAAAUGUUCUUGGGUCAUGAUCAUAUCGACAAAUAGGUUCUUGAAGCUGUAUACUUGUUUUGCUGAAGGAAUUUCCAUAUAAAAUGAUAACUGGGGGCAUAUUAUGUUAACUAAUGAUUAUACGAAUGCACUUUCUCAUUAUCUUUUUGUAACAGAAGUUUGGAUCUGUUCUAGCUUAUAAUGGUUGCUUAUAUUUAUUGGCAGACAUGGGCACAUGCAGACCAAAGGCAGACUGGUUUCCUUGGUCGGGCAAAGUUUAUACUACAGUUAGUGAGGAAAAGCAGCAGGCCAACCAGCAGACACCCAGAGUACCAUAAUUGGAGAAACAUCGUAAACCAACCGAGUACAUAGGAGGUUAACUCACUGAACUCAAAAUUCAAAGAGGCAAUCGAAGCUGAUAAAAAGGUACUUAGAACUUCAAUGUUUCUCCAAUUUUUUCAUAGGAAACCUAAUAAAAAGAGCUUGACUUUUUAACAAUAAGAACAAAAUAAAGGGUAAAGUGAAUAGUAUCAUGAUUGACUUUUUAGUGUAAAAAUAUGAUUUUUCGUUAAAGUGGACAGUAUCAUCAGCUUUUCGUAAGUUCUAUUUUUUCAUCUCUUGAGCAGCAAAGUUAUGUGUGCAUGUAAUUUUUUGACAAGUGUCAAAUCAUAACAAAUAUCCCAAAGACUGGAGAAAGAAAUUUUUGAUGCUAGAGAGAAUUGAAUAUUUCCAGAUCAAAAUAGUUCAGUCAUCGAACUUGUAAUGUAUUUUUUGUAUUUCAUUUCUUUAUAUAUGCAUCUCGCUUUUUCUUCAUUCUUUUUUUCCUUCGGCUUGUAGCGCAACAUAUGAUUUUUCUCUUAAUUUUGGAAUGUUCCUAGUUCUAUUGAAGCGAAGACCUGUAUAGUUUUACUAAAUGCACAGCAGCUCUUCUUCUCUCUGUCAGGAUGCUUAUUGCUCCAACUAAGAAUAUGACUUAGUUUUAAAAGAGCGUAAACCUGCAAGAGGAGAGGCCACUCUAUAUAUACAAAUACAUAUAAUCCUUCUCAUCAUAGCAUAAGAACUCCCUAUUAGAAUCCUUGUAGAAAACAACUUAUGUUUCCUAACUUAUAUCAGUUUAAUGCCAUAACUAUAUCCUUUACAUAAGAAUUAGCAUACAUCUUCUCAUAAGGCUUUCUUAUUCGAAUUGGUCUUAAACAGCCAAAGUCACACCAAAAAUCUUUGUUUCAUAACCUCUACAUACAACACUACUCCAUUUACCGGAUCCUUUAAUACAUUGUUCUUGAACAAUUCUCCUUCCCAUUUCUUGUAGCGAAUCAUGCAUCUCUAUGGUUUGCCAUCCCGGUUUUGAACCAAUUGACACGAGAGACAUAUCAAUGAGAAUUCUAACUCCGGCUGUCACAAAGAAUCCGCGAACAUCUAACAUUAGUUUUACCUCAUGCAUAGGCCACCCUUUAUAAAAACAUGCUAUAUCCAGAAAUAUCUCCUUCUCAUUUUUUUCUAAUCUAUCAUAACUUAUUCUCAACACUUUCUGGAUAUCUCCACUGAAAAAUCGUUUCAAUUUGUUGAAUUCAUCUUCCCAGUCUUCUUUGGUUUUGCAAUUGAAGAACAAGGACCCCAGAACUGUAAGAGCUAAAGGAACGCCUUUGGCAUAAUGCAUAGCCUUUUCUGCCAACUCCUGAUAAUCUAUUCUACGAGUUCUGUUAUUCUUGAAAGCAUGCGAACAGAAGAGCUGAAGAGCGUCA
rnacentral:lncRNA from 1 species